rnacentral:rRNA from 1 species
CAGUAGCGUAUAUUAAAGUUGUUGCAGUUAAAAAGCUCGUAGUUGGAUUUCUGGCAAGGCGAGUCCGAUCCCAAGUUUAACUUGGAGUGUUGGUUGCUCAUCUGCCAUCCUUCCAGAGAACGACAAUUCAGUUCAUUCUGCCGUUGUCGCAAUCUGGGACAUUUACUUUGAAAAAUUAGAGUGUUCAAAGCAGGCGAUCCGCUGUUGAAUACAUUAGCAUGGAAUAAUAAUUUAGGACUUUUGUUCUAUUUUGUUGGUCUUCAGAAUGAAAGUAAUGAUUGAUAGGGAUAGUUGGGGGUGCUAGUAUUCAGCGGCCAGAGGUGAAAUUCUUGGAUUCGCUGAAGACUAACUUAUGCGAAAGCAUUCACCAAGGAUGUCUUCUUUAAUCAAGAACGAAAGUUGGGGGAUCGAAGACGAUCAGAUACCAU